rnacentral:rRNA from 1 species
AGUGAACGCUGGCGGUAGGCCUAACACAUGCAAGUCGAACGGCAGCACAGUAAGAGCUUGCUCUUAUGGGUGGCGAGUGGCGGACGGGUGAGGAAUACAUCGGAAUCUACUUUUUCGUGGGGGAUAACGUAGGGAAACUUACGCUAAUAUCGCAUACGAUCUACGGGUGAAAGCAUGGGAUCUUCGGACCUUUGGCGAUUGAAUGAGCCGAUGUCGGAUUAGCUAGUUGGCGGGGUAAAGGCCCACCAAGGCGACGAUCCGUAGCUGGUCUGAGAGGAUGAUAGGCCGCACUGGAGCUGAGCCGCGGUCCAGACGCCUACGGGAGGGAGCAGUGGGGAAUGUUAGGCAAUGGGCGCAAGCCUGAUCCAGCCAGACCGCGUGGGUGAAGGAGGCCUUCGGGUUGUAAAGCCCUUUUGUUGGGAAAGAAAAGCAGCAGGUUGAUACGCCGCUGUUCUGACGGUACCCAAAGAAUAAGCACCGGCUAACUUCGUG